rnacentral:rRNA from 1 species
UACGUAGGGUGCAAGCGUUGUUCGGAAUUAUUGGGCGUAAAGAGCUCGUAGGCGGUCUUUCGCGUCUGGUGUGAAAACUCGGGGCUUAACCUCGGGCCUGCAGUGGGUACGGGCAGACUAGAGUGCGGUAGGGGAGACUGGAAUUCCUGGUGUAGCGGUGAAAUGCGCAGAUAUCAGGAGGAACACCGGUGGCGAAGGCGGGUCUCUGGGCCGUAACUGACGCUGAGGAGCGAAAGCAUGGGGAGCAAACAGG